rnacentral:rRNA from 1 species
CCUACGGGAGGCAGCAGUGGGGAAUAUUGGUCAAUGGACGCAAGUCUGAACCAGCAACGUCGCGUGAAGGAAGAAGGCUCUAUGGUUUGUAAACUUCUUUUAUAGGGGAGUAAAGAUCACCAUGUGUCGUGAUUUGCAUGUACCUUAUGACUAAGCAUCGGCUAACUCCGUGCCAGCAGCCGCGGUAAUACGGAGGAUGCGAGCGUUAUCCGGAUUUAUUGGGGGUAAAGGGAGCGUAGGAGGAUUUUUAAGUCAGCUGUGAAAGUUUGGGGCUCAACCAGAAAAUUGCCGUUGAUACUGGCAGACUUGAGUGUGGGAGAGGUAGUCGGAAUUCGUGGUGUAGCGGUGAAAUGCAUAGAUAUCACGAAGAACUCCGAUGGCGAAGGCAGCUUACUGGACUAUAACUGACGCUGAAGCGCGAAAGCGUGGGGAUCAAACAGGAUUAGAUACCCCAGUAGUC